CAAGUCCCUCACCAAGAAUAUUUGGAUGAAAUUGAAACAGCCUCCGAUUCCCUCACAAUUAAUUUUCUUCUUCGCUUACGAUUCCCUGUCGAAGAACUCCUCAACCUCUGUUUCAAUUUUCUUCUCUCUCGUUCUUCAGUCUCCUAAAUCGUUUCUGCAACGAGAUCACGGAUAAGUUCCGGGAUUCAUCUCUUCUAAUUCGGAAGAAUGUCUCGUGUUCGGAAUUUCAGUUAUCAAGGAGGGAUGACUUACGAUGAGUACUGGGCCACUUUGAAUAGAUAUGAUUUCAAAGACCAUCAUCAAAUGACAAGUAGGAGCAAUUAUUAUGAUAAUGGCUAUUGCAACCAUUUUGAAUUCUCAGGGCAGUAUAAAGAGCAGGUUAACAGGUCUAUUUAUGCGAGGACUGAUACUUUGAACACCAUCAAGUCUCAUAACUCUCAGUCUUUUAAAAGGAGGAAGUUUUCUGCUUCACGUUGGGAGGAUAGUGGGAAAUACCAUUGGCAGGCGAGGGCAUAUGUUAAUGGACCUUCAAUCUAUAGCAAUUUGGUCCAUCCUCCUCCAAGAUCCAACAACGAUGUCUCUACGUCUGCCAGCUGUAAACGCAGUCGCUCAAUAAUGGAAGAGGAUGAGCCUUUCUUUAUGACCAGGGAUGAGAUUGAGAGAUGUUCACCUUCAAGAAAAGAUGGUAUUGAUACAGUACGUGAAACACAUCUGCGGUACACAUACUGUGCCUUCCUUCAGAGUCUAGGUUUGCAGCUUGAGUUACCACAGACUACCAUUGGCACUGCAAUGAUUCUAUGCCAUCGGUUUUUUAUUCGAAGGUCACACGCUUGUCAUGAUAGAUUUUUGAUUGCCACAUCUGCACUCUUCCUUGCUGCAAAAUCUGAGGAGACACCACGCCCUCUGAAUAAUGUCUUGCGAGCUUCGUGCCAAAUUCUACACAAACAGGAUUUUAAUGUCUUAUCUUAUAUGCUCCCUGUUGAUUGGUUUGAGCAAUAUCGUGAAAGAGUAACUGAGGCUGAACAAUUGAUACUGACUACACUGAACUUUGAACUCAACGUACAACAUCCCUAUGCUCCUCUUAUGUCUGUUCUUAACAAGAUAGGUCUUUCACAGUCGAUAUUGGUGAACCUUGCACUGAACUUAAUCAGUGAAGGGAAGCUUCUUGGCUUGUGUAGUCUAUUAGUAAGCAUGCCCUUGCAAUUGCGAAAAAGUAGGUCAAUGAUGUAACGAUAAGAUUUAGAUUUGUGAUUUGUGGGUGCAAGAACCUCAAUGGAAUGACAGAUUUCUUGAAUUUUGGCAUUGAUUGUGGCAUGAAAGAGGUUGCGCUGGUGAUCUUCUUUCCUUCUAGGUAUCAAAAUGGUGUGUUACUUUUGUCACUUGUUUUCUUGUUAGAGCGAGCUACCAUUCCUUACACAUUUCUCAUACUAUGAAUUAUUGAUUUUUCUGGCAUGCGUAUAAUUUGCAGGAUCUAUGCACGAUUAGUAUGCUCGCCUGUUUGAUAUACUUAGCUGGCGGAUUGAUAUGCUGUUCAUGGAAACUUUUGUUUUACAAGUGAAGUUAUUUUAACCAUGAAUAUACCCCAUCAACUUGGUACUUGGUGCUAAUGAUUGCCAAUGAGCUUACUGCAUCACUUUCUUUCUUUUCUUAACAAAAAUAUCUAUUUCUCCUCCUCUCCCUGGAGCGUCCUCUUUAGGCCAUUCAUUUUCCUAUACCUUGAAAGAUACGGAAUAUUUUCCUUAUGGACUUUUUGACUUUGAAGGGCCUCCACAUGUGAUUGAAUCUUCAAUCUAUUGUUUUUAUAACUUAGAGGACCGCUGCCAUUGGUUUUGCAUUUGCUCUUAUUUCCCAAUGAUGGAUGAUCAAGUGAGUCUAAUUGAGAAUAUCUGCUGACCAGCUUCUUGGGAUGAGUUUCUAUUUAGCACAGAAUAAGUCACAAUGUGAUUUAGAUCUUAGAUAAACCUCUCUUUGGUCUUUUCUUUAGCACAAAAUAAGUCAUAGUAUUUACUCUUUGAAGAUUCAAGUGUACAUGACUUAAAUAACAUGUCAAACCACCAGUUUCUUGAUGUUCCAUUGAGCAUGUACGCACAAGCAAGCAGCCCUUCAGUUGGAAACCUUAAAUUUGUGUCGACUCAUUUUAUAAGUCAUGUAUUUGCUGACUGCUGUCUAUACUUGGUAAAUUAUCACGUGGAUAUCUGUUGAUCAUUUUGAGUCAGAGAGAGGGUGGAACUCAAAUGUGGCGUGACUAUGACUGGUUCAGGAUGGGCGGAAUCUUAAUGUGCAUAUGGGUUUCUUGAUAGGGACAGGAUGUGAAUUAUGGAAGAUCAUAUUAAAAGAAAAUUUGGAUCCCCCUCUCGCACUAAGAGAAAAUAUAAUGCAUGCAUUCAUAUACAUACCUUUGUCUAUUAUUGCAUAUGCCUCCAUUUUCCAGUUUUUCCCAUCCUUGUUUGACAUACAAUGUGUUACAACCAAAGGAGUUCUAUUCAUUCUCGUCUUGCACUUCCACACAUUGCUUUUGUUUAUAAUCUUACCCCUUUUGCUUUCGGUCAUUCAUCAUUUAUUUAUGGGGUGAGAAAGUACGUACAUCUCUUAUCGACUAUGGAAUGUUUAAGAAACUAUGGUUUUUUUAAGAGUUUCUUUAAACUCUCUUAACAUUCAUCAUAGGAUUGGAUUUUCAACUAAUCUGUCUUUUCUGUGUUGCUCUUGUUAUCAAAUAAAUACCGCUGUCAUGACCACAACACUUUCUUGAACUUUGAUAUCUAAUAUGUUUAUUAUCUGACUUGGAUAUUUUAAGCUAUUAAAAUUUUGAAACUAUUGUGAAAUUGUAUCAGUUUCUCACACUUCGUUUCCUAUGGGAAAAAAAAUUCCCUUCUCUCUCUAUUUUGCUUUCAUUUUCAAAAUAGUUUAUUCAUGACUUUGAAACUUUUUAAUUUGUGUUUUUAAAAUCCAGCACUGUCCUAUAGAUGGAAAGAUGCAUGUCUGGCCUUUUUCAUCUUGCCAUAAUGAGUAGAUGCAUCACUAUUUUGAAUGAAGCUGAUUAUUUUUUUUGUUAUGAUGUAUAUAUUGACCAGUCGUUCUAUAUGUUGUGAUUAUAGGAAACCCUGAAGGUGUAAACUUUUGAAAUAUUCAGUGACAUCAAGGUUUUGCAUUCAAUUUGUUGGACAUAAAUUGUAAAUUUUAAUUUCUUUCGGGUGAUGUUUGUUCCAAUUUAUAUGGUCAUUAGAAUCACAAUCAUCAAUUAAACAACGUUGUGAUCUGCAUGCUUGUGUAAAGGUGCUGUCUAUAGAAAUUUCACCCUCUCCUACCCCCCCUUCCAUCAAAAGAUACCGAAUAAAAUUACUUUCAAGGUACAAACUUUACAACAGAUGCAUCUUUCCAUGUAAAGGCAGUUUUGCCCAUAGAAACCAUCCCCCUCCCCCUCUUGCCCAUAUGCCUAACCAAAAGAGAAGAGUAAAACCAUGUCCUGUUCUAAACAUUCUAAGGAUAAUUACCUUAAUUAAGGUAGAAGCUUUACAAUGGAUUCAAUUUUCCAUAAACCUGAGUCUUUUCUUCUCGUGUGUAUUUGUACAACGGUGGGAAUUUUGGGUUGGAUCUGUAAGUAUGGUAAACUUGCAUGCUUUCAAGCAUGAUGAGAUGAGAGUGCUUGAUGACAAUCCAGUACAGAUCAACAUUUACAUCAUUUAGACCCUUGAAGAUGGUGGGUUGCUUUGAGAAGUUUGAUUGUUUGCAAUAUGCCACAACCUCCUGUCUUUUAGUUUGGGUUGCAUUAGUUUCUGGAAUGAAAAGCCCCUGCAGCCAAAUUACCUGGGAGUUUGAUGUAUUCUGUAUAUGGGGUAUAACAUAUAUCGUAUGAUAGUCAUACUAUCGGCAAUCUUCCAGAGAUUCUUGGAAAUAUUCUACCUGAGUUGCUGCUUUUAGUUGGUAAGAAGAAACGAGAUAUUUACUUUGCUCUUGCUCUUAGUUUUUAUUGUUGUAUACAGUUGUAUAUUUAGAGCUGAUGCACUUUUUUGUCUUGAAGUACUGUUACACAUUGCCAUCCUCUUUAGUAGUGGACCCAGAUGGUUUGUUUAACUGUUUUGUGUUCUUCAACUGGUUAUUGUGGUUGUGGUAGUUGCAUAUGAGACUGAAAUGUGGUUUUUUUUUUUAGGCUGAGGAGCUCACUCUGGCUUCAGUUUAAGCCCCAUCAGAUAGCUGCUGGAGCUGCAUAUCUGUCUGCCAAGCUAUUGAAUAUGGAUUUUGCUCCUUAUCAAAAUAUCUUGCAAGAGUUCCAAGCUACGCCAGCUAUUCUCCAAGAUGUGGCCCAGCAGUUGAUGGAGCUGUUCUAAAGUGAAAGCUCGAUUGGACGAAGCCUACAUCUGGUGAAAUUACACGGGAAACGUAACGUAUUUGUUACUUUACGACACGUCUUAAAUAGUUAAAUCCUGACAGUCGCUUAGAUUAUAGUCACUGUGUUGGAUGGAUGGCUUAACAUGAAAGGUUCCGAACCCCUUUCCAUGUGCAAGACAGUGCUUUAGAAGUACAGUAGGAAGGCGUGUAUUGAAUUGGCAAACGGAUGGUUAUACGAAAAGGCUCAUUUCUGGUCUGC